rnacentral:rRNA from 1 species
CUAGGAAUAUUGUGCAAUGGGGGAAACCCUGACACAGCCACGCCGCGUGAGGGAUGAAGGCCUUCGGGUCGUAAACCUCUUUUCUGAGGGAAGAAACCUGACGGUACCUCAGGAAUAAGCAACGGCUAACUACGUGCCAGCAGCCGCGGUAAUACGUAGGUUGCGAACGUUGUCCGGAAUCACUGGGCGUAAAGCGCACGCAGGCGGCUCUGGAAGUCCAAGGUGAAAGCCCGCGGCUCAACCGAGGGAGGCCCUUGGAAACUCCAGAGCUCGAAGGCGGGAGAGGCAGAUGGAAUUUCCGGUGUAGCGGUAAAAUGCGUAGAUACCGGAAGGAACACCAGUGGCGAAAGCGAUCUGCUGGCCCGCUCUUGACGCUCAUGUGCGAAAGCUAGGGGAGCGACCGGG